UCAGAGCAGUUACUGAUAAACGUAUGCGUACUCAUACCAUCCCCCUCCGCAAUGAUACAUUUCUCUCUUCUGUUGCACUGCCAAAUCGGUGGCUCUUACCUGGGCUACAGCUAACCCUUUUCCAAGAAUUAUGUUCCAGGUUCCCCUCUGUUUGGGCAGAAAAUCAGCUCUAUUCCAGUUCGAUGCCUGCUCAUCUUUGCCCACCCAUCCAGGUUACCAGUCAACUUCCUCCACCUACCAAGGAAAACCCCCCUCAAAUCUGAGGCCAUGGACAUGGUAACAAAUGCGACUCCCCACGUUAAUCCUCCUGGCAAACAUACCCGAUGCAGCCUCCUGGGAUCUGCCCUUGGUACGUGUUACACAAGAUUCCUGUUUCAAAGCUGGCCAGUAUGUGCAACUCCCUACAGGAGGCAGCAGCGAAUGGUCUAUUGAAUAUGUGGCUAAUAAUAUGGGGUACAAAGUAGGGCUGUCUGGAUACCUGACACCAUCCCCUGACAAUGCUACACUGAUGACAACCUCGGCCUGUUGCACAGAAACAGACAAUUACAUCGUGUGCUCCUGUUCUACCCUUCGCCCUUUGACCUCAUCCUCUUCUCUUAUUGUGGACGUCCUUCCUCUUGCAGAUGGUGAAGCUGCUGUACAAGUAUCCUCUACCCAGUGGUGUUUCAUCAACACUGCAUCUUAUUACAUGUACAAACCAUUGCAGUGCCAGGCAAACGCUUCCAUGUGCCUGCAGAUUACUGACUCAUUUACCCUAGGUGAUGUGCACCUCCCCGGCCAUGUGUUCACUGGAAUGACAACAGCUCCUCGCUAAUAUAACAAUCUAUACCUGGACAAUACACCAGUUCAGCUGGCCAAGGAGCUACUUCUCAUAGUGGUCCUGGCUGCUGCGUCUGCGUUUACCACCGUUCAUAACCAUGUCACCAAAAGUCGCAUUCAAGUCCAGCUCUCCAAUCAAACCAUCACCCAACUGGAAGAUUUUACUCAUAAUUCAUCUUACAGCCCCAUCUCCUGGUGGCAAUUGUCCAACCAACAGCUGCUGCUGCUUCUAUAUUUGUGUUACUAACCUCUCUUGUCAUGUGUGGGUACUUCAAACACAUGCUUAAAAAUCUUACUAUGUUUCCUACCUUUACCCCCUUCCUCCAAUUCCCCUCUCCCACCUUCCUCAGGCAACCUUAAAACAGAUCAUGCAUAUCAAAGUAUUUAAAGUAUUAACUUUAUCUCCCUUAAAAGUUCGAUUUGUCAAAAGGAGGGAAUUGUCAGGAAGGAGUUAAAAUUCAGCCAGCAGAAAAGACAGAAACUGCUGAGAAGCAAGGACACAGUUUCUGUCAAUACCUGAUAAUUUAGCUCAUCUUAUAGGGUCAAUGCCUGCCCAGUAACUCAGUUCUUAGAACAGCGCUAACCCUCCCUUCACAACCCACUGGACGUCUGUAAGCACGGUGGAUACCCUGCCAUGUGGAUGGGUGUGACAUACCAGGGUACAAUCCAGACCAAUGCAGGACUAUGUCACUCCUGCCCCAUAACCUGGGGGGCCUUGCUGCUGUAGCCUCCAACCUAGUCUGCUCACAAACAGCCUGCCACCAUGCAGGUCAUUCCCAGAUGUGUUUGUGUAACUGCAGGCUGUUAGUUUCACUUGGACUAAACUCUGGCUUUUACCAGCCUGGGUUAUACUGCAGGGAGACCCCCACCACACACCCAGUCCAGGAUUUCCCCCUAGAAAUGUAGUCUUGUGCUGCCCAGCCUUCUCCUGGACAGUCCAAAUAUAUUAAGUCUGUUAUUCUUUUAAGGGAAUAAAUACACAACAGCUUAUUACCUUAAAUAGUUACCCACACACUUUUAAAAUACACACUGGAUAAGAUAAAACAACGAAACAAGUUUAUUAACUACAACCAGAUAGAUUAAAUGAGUACAAGUAAUGAGGCACAAAAAUCAUAAGUGGUUACAAGAAAAAUAAAGAUAAAAUGUUUUCUUGUGCGUAGCUUACCAAACUACCUGUAUAUUAGAUUCAAGCAAAGUUUCUUACCAUGUUUCUAGCAGCAUUACUGACCAAACUUUUCAGGUCACGACCCCUCCUGCAGAGCCCAUUGGUGGUUUCCUUUGACUUCUAAGGUGCAGAGAAUGAGGUGGGCAAGGAAAGAGAGAGAAAAGAGAGGCUUGGGGUAUCUUCCUCUCUUUUUUUUGUUUUUUCAGUCCCUUUUUGUAAAGCAUUUCCAUCUGAGACCAAGAAACAGGCAGUCUGCUAGAGGAAGGAGACUCUAGGCUGUUUCUUUGUUCAUACACAGACCUCUGUCCCUGCCUCUCUUCCUUGCCAAAGACUGGUCACUUGGUAGGUGAUUGUCCAUCAGCUUUGUUGACACCUGGCUUGCCCUGUCUUUGAGAAACUGAUUUAACCACUCCCCAGACUUACCUGGGAAAUGCACGUCAGUCACGAUUUUUAUGUUCAUAACUUUACAUAUAACAACACUAUAUGCACUUUACCAUGAUAUUCCUGAGCAGCAAGUUAUGAGUGUUCAUCUUGUACAAAGAUUAUUACAAUAGCAUGUAGGGGUGUAUUCCACCCCAGUGGGUAAUGCUAAAAGGUUUCUUUAGUUAGAAACUUAUUUUAGUCAAGGAUUUUAGCUUGUUACGUUUUAGUCACUUAGAAGCAUGUUAUGUUUUUGUUUGAUUUGUAACCAUUUCUGUCUCUAUUAUUCUUGCUCAAUAUCUCUUAAAUUACUGUCCUCGGUUAAUAAUCUUCUCUGUUUUAUCAUAAGCAUGUCAGUGCUAUUAUAUUAAACACAGUAUGAAUUCUGGUUAAAUCACGCAAACUGGUGGUACACUCUCUCUAGAGACAGCGAACUUGGUAAUUGUGACAGUGACCAGGGGUUGGAGGCUGCAGGGAGAUGCUUCUGGAGAGUUUGGGGACUGAAGUACAACAAGGGUUAACCUGCCAGGCACAAUUAGGACUGGUGGCAUCCUGUGGAAUCUAACGAACUGGAGUGGCAAGGAGUUGUCACUUUGGAUAGCACAACCAGAUCCAGAGGGGUGACUUACAGUUCUGGACACCCUGAGAAAGCAUCACAUCUCAUGACUGAUGUCAUGCCUUUGCUUUGCAAACAAGAGAAGUAGGGAACUCAGUGACCCUUGCAGACUAACUGGGUAAAAGAUUACACUACUUGUCUCCUUAAGCAAUUUCCACUUAACAGAAAAUUUGCUUUAGAGCUUGUCGAAAUAAAGAAUAUAAGAAUGGCCGUACUGGGUCAG